AGCGCCAACACGCCCUCAGGUAAAGGUGGAAGUAAAUGGCCACGCUGUAUUGACAGAGUCAGAGGCAGGGAGUCGAGGGCAGAGGCAGCAGGCGGAGAGAGGGAGAUAGGGCGAGGGAAGGAGAACGCGGAGAGAGACGAAGGGAGUGGGAGACCAGCGACAGCGAGCGCCAGGGCACCGCAGGCACACUGGAUGCCCAGUCCGCCGGCCCAGCCGCCCUCGGACCCUGGACCGUGCGUCGUGGGCACCAGAAACGAGACUCGGCCAAAUCCUGCCUCACCAGCAGGUAGAUGAAACUCAAGAGAAAAGGUGUGGAUAAAUGAAACUAGCCCAUGAUGAACCUGUUUUCUCCGUGACCACAAUAUUAACCAGGAUGAAUGGCGGUGGCAGUGGGCCUGCAUCACAGGUUGCAGCAGAUGUUCUCAAUAUUUCUAUUAAAAUUUCCUUAUUUCCAUAUGCAAGAGGAGCCCCAGAGCUGCAUCCUUAUGGUAGCUACCAUGCCGUGAUGUAAGCUGCCAUUCACUGGGGAGCUUUGGCAAUAGAAUUGGCUAGAUCAGGAAGCCUAUGUCAACUAUGGAACAACAACUUGCAGCUCAUCUCUAUUGAUGAUGGAAUCUCGCUAUGUCACCAGGCUGGAGUGCAGUGGCGCAACCUCGGCUCAGCGCAACAUCCGCCUCCCGGGUUCAAGUGAUUCUCCUACCUCAGCCUCCUGAGUAGCUGGGAUUACAGGUGAAACAGUCGCAAAUGGAAUUCCAAGAAACAUUCUAUCAUCAGGUAUUAUCUACUGCUGUCUGCAGAAUUCAGACAUGGAGGGCUCAAUGGUGUCCCCUGGUCUUUGGAACAUUCUGUAUUUUAAUGAUCAUGAUACACUGCCUCUAGGACUGGGACAGAUAGCCACUGAGUACCUGCUUCAAAUCACCCUGCACGUUUUCUCUUUGGAAAGAUAAGCACUGGAGAACCAUCUCGUUACCUUCAGCAGAAAUGGAAACAAAUCAAGACAUUAAGAAUGCCGCAGUGGACAGCAGUUAUGCAAGGUUCAGCAGAGGAAGUUUUCAAGAUGGUGUGCCUCACUAGCCAGAAAUCAGAAAAGAUCGAAGCUAGCCUUUUCAUCUCAGCUGCUCCUUAAAUCAGUGCAACCCCUCCAAAUUAAUGUGAAUUGAAACUUGCAUUGCUUUUCAACUUAAUUGAAUACUUACUAUAUGUGAACCACUGCACAAAAUAGGGGAAGAAGAUGUGGGAGACAAAGAUGUGGAGCCUGUCUUCAAUAAAUUUACAGUUAGUUUCAGGGUACAUUGUUUUUCUUCUGCUGUUAAUUAGGUGUAUCCCCAAGACAAUAAAUACAUGAAUGGAAAAGUAUAUUCUGUGUUUUAAGUCUCUUUAAUAAAAAACAAAACAAAAUCCAAAAAAACUCCUAACAUGGCAACUCAGGACAUUUUAAUCCUUUUUUUUGUUGUUGGGCUUCUGAUAGGAUCCAUUUUAUUGAUUCCAUAAAUAUUUAGUAGACUUUAGACAUAUUAAUACAUUGUAGUUUGAGUUAAUUUGCAUUAAAUUCUGUUUUUUUCCCCUUAGGUAUAGAUUGUCUGUUGGAAAAAUAUAUUGCUUGUGGAUUUCUUGGGGAGUGGGAAGGUGAAUUAUACCUGUUGUCUCUACAGUCCACUACCUUCCACACCCUAGGGCAGUGGUCCCCAACCUUCUUGGCACCAGGGAUCAGUUUCCUGGAAGACAAUUUUUCUGUGGAUGGUGUGGGGAUGGUUUUGGGAUGGAACUGUUCCACCUCAGAUCAUCAGGCAUUAGUUAGGCUCUCAUAACGAGUGCGCAGCCUAGAUCCCUCACAUGCACAGUUCACAGUAGGGUUUGCGCUGCUAUGAGAAUCUAAGGCUGCCACUGAUCUGACAGGAGGCAGAACUCAGGUGGCAAUGCUUACUGGCCCACUGCUCACCUCUUGCUGUGCGGCCUGGUUCCUAAUAGGCCAUGGACCCCCACAGACGGGUACUAGUCUGCAGCCUGUGGACCCCAGCCCUAGGGGCCUGCCAUUCUGAGUGAGUUAUUAGCAUGAAGAAGAGGAAGAUCUGGAUCAAACGUGGGUGAUGGUACUCAGAGACCCAAGAUAGGAUAGGGAUGGAACAAAAUCCAUCUGGGCAACGGCUCUAUGAAAAUUUGGCUAAGUAAUUAUUUCAGUAUUCAUUGUAUUCAUUGUCCUUCGUGUUCCAUAAGUUAAAUGACUGUCUAAUUUUUCCAAAAAUUUAUUUCUGACUUGAGAAUAAGUGUGUCAUGAUUUUCCCAGUGUAAAGACACUGAUAUAACUGUAGAUACCAGACAUUUUAUGUAGUGUCUAUGACACAUUUUAGUAUGUAUGAGCCAACAAUAGACAUGUCUUUGUCUUGAGGAGUGUCCAUCUGAAUUGAAAAUGUGUCAGCUUUUUUUUAACAUCAUCAACAGACUUCUUAAUUAAGCUGCCAAUACAUACUGCCAAUAGCACU
ensembl:lncRNA NR2F1-AS1 NR2F1 antisense RNA 1